rnacentral:rRNA from 1 species
CACGCCGUAAACGAUGAAUACUAGGUGUAGGGGUUGUCAUGACCUCUGUGCCGCCGCUAACGCAUUAAGUAUUCCGCCUGGGGAGUACGGUCGCAAGAUUAAAACUCAAAGGAAUUGACGGGGGCCCGCACAAGCAGCGGAGCAUGUGGUUUAAUUCGAAGCAACGCGAAGAACCUUACCUAGACUUGACAUCUCCUGCAUUACCUCCAAAAAGGGAAAUCCCUUCGGGGACAGGAUGACAGGUGG